GAUGCUGGCGUAAUGGUUGUAAGCGACCCGUCUUGAAACACGGACCAAGGAGUCUAACAUCUAUGCAAGUGUUUGGGUGUCAAACCCAUGCGCGUAAUGAAAGUGAAUGGAGGUGGGAACCCUUAAGGGUGCACCAUCGACCGAUCCUGAUGUCUUCGGAUGGAUUUGAGUAAGAGCAUAGCUGUUGGGACCCGAAAGAUGGUGAACUAUGCCUGAAUAGGGUGAAGCCAGAGGAAACUCUGGUGGAGGCUCGCAGCGGUUCUGACGUGCAAAUCGAUCGUCAAAUUUGGGUAUAGGGGCGAAAGACUAAUCGAACCAUCAACACCCCAUGCAAAAAUUAAAUGGGUGAAUGCAUAGGUGGUUAAGAGGCGGCUAAAAGUGUCCGUCUAGUCCCAAAGUUCACGGGGCGACACUGCCAAAUUGCGGGGACCCCCUUA
rnacentral:rRNA from 1 species